ensembl:lncRNA
AAAAGAUGUCUGUCAUUGUGUAUGUUCAGUAAAUCUGAAUCAGAACAUCUACAUUUCAAAGGUGUUUGGCUUUCAUGCAAAUUGCCAUUUGGAUGCAAAUGCAGUCACCUCUUCAUUUAAAGUAAUAAUUCCUUAUUGCACACCUCCAAUAAGCAUUUAAAACAUUUUAGCCUUUAUUAAAGGAAAAUGCAAUAUAGUAACCCAGAAAUCCCUUUAUUCAGAGCCGCCAAAGCGCUGUCAGUGUGAAAGCAUGACCCUGCUGUUUACUUGCUGCAGAUGCAGGAUGUGCGAAACAGGCUGAAGUCAGUGUCCUUGUGAACUUGUUACUGCUGAGUCUUUGUUCAGCUGGUUUUUUUUUUUAAAUCUUUAUGCCCUUGUUGUGGAAUAGCUCAUCUCAGAUAUUUCUGAAUGAUCAGGUUGUCUGUCUGGUGUCACCACAAGUGCACUCUCUCAACCCUCCAGAUGCGACGGGGAUUUUAUCCCCUAAAUACUUCUUCAGUCAGACAGAUAAAUCCUGUGUGAAUGAGAUCUAUACAGCCUGAAUCUUUGCUUAAGUGCUUUAUCUGGUAUAUACUGUAGUGUGUUUAUAUGUGGGCUUGUUGAUUAGAAGAGAGUGGGCUCAAGGGUCAACGCACCAUUGUUCUGCUAUCAUUAAAUGAACCAGUGAUGCCCAAAGGACUGAUUAGCUUAUCCUGCUUAUGCUGUAAUGUUUUAGUCUGAUGUUGCAGAUAACAUUUUUGCAUUUGUGUCAUUAGAAUCACAAUGCUGUUUGUUUUAUAAUUCUAUGUGGGCAGGUAUAUGUGCAUAUACCAGGAGAUUUAAUGGUUAAUAGCAAUGUGAAACAUAUUGCAAACAUAUCAAGUGUUUGUAUAGCAAAAGCUUGUAAAUUCAUAAUAUGCAAGUUUAGAUGUGGUGUGGUAUAAACUGAGGAAUAACUCCUGCUCUUAGAUGUAUAACUAAGAGAGGCUCAGUCCAUGGAAAUGGAUUGGAUGAGAGUGACAGGCAACAUUACCUUUCUUGACAACUAACAGACACUAAUAAGUUUAAAGGAAAAGUUCUCUCAAAAAUGAAAAUUUGAUGAUAUUGUUCCCACCCUCAGGCCAUCCAAGAUAUAGAUGAGUUUGUUUCUUCAUCAGAACAGAUAGGGAGAACUUUAGCAUUACAUCUCUUUCUCACCAAUGGAUCCUCUGCAGUGAAUGGGUGCCGUCAGAAUAAAAGCAUCAAAAUAAUCCACGAGUAUUCCACACGACUCCAGUCCAUCAAUUAAUGUCUUGUGAAAGCCGUGCCAUUGUAAGAAACAAACCCAUCAUUAACUUUAAACCAUCACUUUUGUCCAAAAUAUGAGUCCAUAAUAACCAUAAUAACGCUUCCUCCAGUGGAAAAAGUCCCCCCUGUUGUCUUCUCACAACAAAACCCACCUACAUAUUUGUUUAGAAAUGUUUUGGACUGUUUCUGCUUGUUAACAGUACUUGAGCUGUGCAUAUUUCUUUUCGGAUUCAGACAACACUGGACACUACUGGAGAAAGCAAUAUCAUGGAUAGAGGACUUGUAUUAUAACCAUAAGCAAUACUUUGAAGUUAAAGCACGUUGAUGGAUUUAUUUCUCUCAAACAUGAUGUACUUGUGGAUAAUUGUAAUGUUUUUAUCAGCUGUCUGGACUCUCAUUCUGACGGCACCCAUUCACUGCACAGGAUCCAUUGGUGAGCAAGCGAUGCAAUGCUAGAUUUCUCUCAAAUCUUCAUUUAUGGGUGAACUUUUCUUUUAAUAAUGGGGCCUAAAAAGUAGGCUAUACUAUAGAGGACCUUUGUGUCACAAGCCUGUGACAACAAACAUUGUUUUGCAAAAUAAUGUAACAGUAAAAGAUUUAGUAGCAUCUGUUUGAAACUGAGCUUUUCUAAGGAUAUUUACAAUCGUAUAUGUGGUUCUCUUUGCUUUAUUAGAUCAGAUGAUAAUUUUGCUUUGAAUAUUGAAAAUAAGGUUUAAAAAUCUAAAUCUGAAAAGCAGCCAUCACAGGGAUUGUUACUGAAUGCAUAAGGUGUUUUCCUUUCAUCUUAAAAUUGUGUCUAAUUUGACACAGCCCUAACAAAGUGAUAUUUGCUUCACUCAGGGUCUGAAACCUUAUUUUGUAAAUGUAUACACGUAUGCCUGACACUAUUUAAAAGGCCUAUAACCAGUUUUUGUAUUGUAUCAGUGCAGAGAUAAGGAGGAUUUAGAAUGCAAGUAGGUUGUGUUAGACUGUGAUGCAUCAUAUAAUCACAUCCACUAGUUAAUUCAUAGAUUUCUGUUUUUCAAUUUAAUGAUUCAUCUUGGAAACAUAUUGAUGCUAAUGAAAUGCUUAAUUGUUAUUAAGUUAUUUAUAAUUGUGAUGUUAAAGAGAUAAGCAAUACUGCCUUACAAUAAGACUUAAUACAUAAUCAUAUGUAAAACAUACAUUUUUGAACAUUGUGGUGAAUUGUAAACAAUAAUCCAUCGAUACAGUACAUGCAAUAUUUUUUUUUCUAAUGUAAUUUUGUAGUCCCCAUUUUCAUGAGCAGUGUGCUUACCAAGAUUUGAUUUUAUUUGGCUUUUUUUGUCCUUAAGUAUGGAAUAACCUGUCUUCCCUUAAGCUGACUGUUAUGUGGUAGAGGUUUUAAAACAGCUGUAUAAGUUGUCUUGAUUUAAAGGACAGGAAUAUGACUGGGAACGAAUUGAUUAGAACCAGAUUCAAUGGGAAACUGUGGUAAUGUUAACACACUGUAUUUGCAUGUUUGGCCAAAGGCCAAUAACAGACAUCAGUGUCCUGUUUCACAAACAAUUUGGAAAGUCUUGAAAUGUACACAGUAAUUCAAAUCUCUGACAAAAUGGUGUAACAAUAAUGUCGCAAUAAAUAAUCCACUGUUUACUCUAUAAUAUGAUUAAAGGGG